rnacentral:pre_miRNA from 1 species
GAAAUACUCCCUCCGUUCCAAAAUAAGUGUCUCAACUUUGUACUAACCUUAGUACAAAGUUGUACUAAGUUUGAGACACUUAUUUUGGGACGGAGGGAGUACUAU